rnacentral:lncRNA from 1 species
GAGGAAGAACAAAAAGGAUUCUGUAAAGUCACAGUAUGGAUAAGAUGUUUCACAUUGUUGUCUUUGACAAGACAAAUGAGGUUGAAGUUGUGCCUUCAGUCUGGAUUAAAAAUGGAGAGUGCAUGUGGCCUCCAAAUAAGAUAGAUAUAACAAAAGCUGUGAAAUCACAGGAGAGUCCUGGAGAUGACUGGAAGCCCCAUAAGGCCAGAAUUAUUUUCACGUCACAUGACUACAAGGAAGCUAGACGCAAACUACCACUUGCUGUUGAUCACACAGACAUUGAUCAGACCGAUGGAGGAGACUCACCAAUUACAUUUCAAAGAAAAAGAAUACCCAAGAACAUUCUUUUCCCUGGAGAAGACGACGACGAUGAUAAUGCGAUGGAAGAGCACCUGAAAGAACCAAAAUCAAGAAAAGGAAGGUAUUCUAUACCCGAUGCUCCGAAAAUUGCUAGACAUGCCAACAAAUUAGACCCAGGAAAGCCAAACUGCCCUAAGAUCUUCCACAGUACUCUUGCCCUCCACAAUGAUGAGAUGGAAGGAAUUAAAGCAACAAAGUCCAAAAAAAAGAGGUAUGCCUUACCUAAUGCUCCAGUGAUCUCUAGGGAACAGACUUCUCCUGCAGUAGACAACCUCCACCUUAGUGGCCAAGGCAGAACUGACCUUCAUUCACGUGAUCAUAGCAGUCCUGAUGUUAGCCUACAUGGCCAAAGCAGUCCUCACCUUCGUCCACAUGGCCAAAAGAGUCCCAAUCUUCUCCCAAGUUGCUACAGUCCUGACUUGUAUGCAGAUUGCCACAGCACUCCUGAGAUCCACUCAAGUCAGCAGACCAGCAUUGCUAUGUUAUCAUCGGGCUGGAAUUUUCUCUCCGAGAGUUGUACAUUAAGUAAAUCAAGCACUGAGACCCUUUUAAGCCAAGCCAAUGUUGAGGUCAGAAGACCAGCCCAUAAAAGUAAAGAGAUCCAUAAAAAAAAGCACUCCGAACCUUCGACGCUCCCUCAGCCACACCAGACCACGGACAUCGAGCAAACAUCCAGUCACCAAAUUUUUCUUCUUCGUAAUAUAUUAACAAAACAGGAGAUGCUUAUGGACCAAAUGCGAAUUAUCAUGAAGACCCUCCAGUGUAUGCAAUCAAGUCAGGAGACAGAGAUAGGCCUAGAUCGAAAUUUGUUGCCUCUCAAAGAUCUCACUUCUCUACAGAGCAUGGAGGGCAAUCUGCGGAGUACUCCUGACCUCCAUAAGCAAUUGGUAAACACUCUGGCUCUUAAAGGUGGGGCGGAUGUGCAGGAGUCUGUUUGGAGAAUCAUGCAUGGUCUGUUUACCAACUCCUUGGCGAGGAAAGUUAACAUGAGAGGAUUGAAUGGAAAGAUUAGCUUCCUACGCCUACAGAUACGAGAUGUUGUGAUUGGUAAGUUGCCAUUUAUUCCCAAUAUGUAA